rnacentral:rRNA from 1 species
AAUCAACGCUGGCGGCGUGCCUAACACAUGCAAGUCGAACGCGAAAGUCCCGCAAGGGAUGAGUAGAGUGGCAAACGGGUGAGUAACGCGUGGGUGACCUGCCUUCGAGUGGGGGAUAACGCUCCGAAAGGGACGCUAAUACCGCAUGACAUCCUGCUUUUGAAGGGGUGGAGAUCAAAGCCGGGGAUCGCAAGACCUGGCGCUCGAAGAGGGGCCCGCGUCCGAUUAGCUAGNGGUGGGGUAACGGCUCACCAAGGCUCCGAUCGGUAUCCGGCCUGAGAGGGCGGACGGACACACUGGGACUGAGACACGGCCCAGACUCCUACGGGAGCAGCAGUGGGGAAUUGUUCGCAAUGGGCGCAAGCCUGACGACGCAACGCCGCGUGGAGGAUGAAGAUCUU